UACGUAGGGUGCAAGCGUUAAUCGGAAUUACUGGGCGUAAAGCGUGCGCAGGCGGUUGUGCAAGACCGAUGUGAAAUCCCCGGGCUUAACCUGGGAAUGGCAUUGGUGAUUGUACGGCUAGAGUGUGUCAGAGGGGGGUAGAAUUCCACGUGUAGCAGUGAAAUGCGUAGAGAUGUGGAGGAAUACCGAUGGCGAAGGCAGCCCCCUGGGAUAACACUGACGCUCAUGCACGAAAGCGUGGGGAGCAAACAGG
rnacentral:rRNA from 1 species